UUUGAAGCAGAUUUUUCUUGG
rnacentral:piRNA from 1 species